AAGUCGUAACAAGGUCUCCGUUGGUGAACCAGCGGAGGGAUCAUUAUAGAGUUUUCUAAACUCCCAACCCAUGUGAACUUACCAUUGUUGCCUCGGCAGAAGCUGCUCGGUGCACCCUACCUUGGAACGGCCUACCCUGUAGCGCCUUACCCUGGAACGGCUUACCCUGUAGCGGCUGCCGGUGGACUACCAAACUCUUGUUAUUUUAUUGUAAUCUGAGCGUCUUAUUUUAAUAAGUCAAAACUUUCAACAACGGAUCUCUUGGUUCUG
rnacentral:misc_RNA from 2 species